AAGGCAGUGCUGGAAUCAGUGGUCAUCUCCUGUAGAUGGUGAACGACCCAUUAGCACUGCCCAGAUUAAUGGAAGAACCGAAGGCGGGACCUCUUAAACUUGAGAGGUAUUUCGUGCGAUAUUCUUUCAACACCUUUAACCCUCAGUCCUGUUUCCACGGCGGUGACAGUCUGGCAGUACUGUUACCAAUCUCAAAACAGGCAGAGAAAAUAAGCACUGGGAUAUUGUCUGUUUGGGCGAGCUGACCUCGCAGACACUUUAAAUUGCCACACUU
ensembl:scaRNA